GGGGGAGGAGGAGGAGGGACCGAGGCGCAGGAAGCCGAGCAGGAAGCGAGCCCGGCGGCCGCGUUUUCCUGGGGAAGCGGCGGGCGGGGGGGCGCAGCCAGCGGGGCCCGGGAGCCGCCGCCGUCUCGAUGGGGUUCCAUCAGGAUAAAAACCCACGUUCUGAUAAACAAAGCACUCUAAAUCUGUGCCGUCUACCCCACAAGGCACUUGUGUCUUCAGCUUUUCUGCCAAUGUUUGCCAGAGCCUGAAUUCAGAGGAAAAUGUGCUGAAGGAAUCUUCUAGAUCUUCUAGAGCGUGGGAAGGCUGAAUGGGCUCAACAUGAAGAGCCUGAAAGCGAAGUUCAGGAAGAGUGAC
rnacentral:lncRNA from 1 species